rnacentral:lncRNA from 1 species
AUGGAUUCCACAGCAGCGCAGGGUAAGUAGCACCUUUUAACAGUGCUACCAGUGUAUGGAAAACCAGAGUCAGAGGAAGAUUGCUGCAGUUAUAGCUAUGACUUCAUUGGUAUGCAGCAAACAGCCUUCAGAGUCAGGUAUCUUCAAUAAAGAUGGUUCUUCCAGUAUGACUACAUCAAACUGCUGAGAUAUCAACAACUUCCAAGCAAAUAUGAUGAAGUACAGGACCUCAGAAUACCAGGAAUCCU